rnacentral:lncRNA from 1 species
GGUAGUUUUUGCAUAAUUGCCAUGGGAAAAUCCAAUGAGGACCUGAUGUGCCCACCACGCAGAAAACUCCUGUGGUAACUGGUUUGGGGUCUGUCAUCCCAGAUCUGUGUCUUCCCACCGUGCUGUGUCCAGAACCUAACACGGCGAUGGACCCCGCAACAGAAAAUCGAUGGGUGUUUGCUGAAUUGAAAGGAGAAGCUUGACGAAGGUGGUCUGCAAAUCGCAUUGACUAUCUACCACAUGUCAAACCUUGUUCCCAAAGGGUGGGAGAAACAGCCUUGGCCAAGAAUGACACCUGUGCUGGGAAAUACAGGUCUCGAAACCCAGGAGCCACC